rnacentral:misc_RNA from 1 species
CCGGCGAGAGUAAAGAGUCACUACCCAGGCUCUUGAAGACAGUGCCACCUCCGCCACUGUGACACUCUCAUCUGUGUUCUCCCUUUCCUGCCCUCACGCCUCGCCCUUCUCUCUUAUAUGCGCUCACGUAUCUUCUUCGUGUUUCCGGCUUUUGGGUAGCCCCCAGAUGGAGUAACUGCCCCGCCUGGACCCCCGCUGAAGAGGGUGGGGGUCCAGGGCUUAUGGUCUUCGCCUCUACAUCCCCACAAGCGGGGCCACCUGAGGCAAGAUGGCACACCAGCUGGAGCAGCUGUUGACCUGUUGCAUUUGUCUCGACCGCUUCCGGAACCCCAAGCUGCUACCAUGUCAGCAUUCGGUGUGCAUGGAGCCCUGCAUGGAGGGCCUCGUCGACUACGUCCGUCGACAGGUGAAGUGUCCCGAGUGCCGUGCCGAGCACCGCAUUCCUUACAAUGGGGUGCAGGGCUUCCCCUCUAAUGUCACCCUCCAGAGGUUCCUUGAGGCCCACAUAGAGAUCACGGGCGAGACACCAGACCCUCACACAGGCCAGUAUAUGGAAAGGUGUAAUGUGUGCAAUGAAAAGAACUACCUCUCCAUCUGUGCUCAUUGUGAGAAGAAAAUAUGUGAAGAUUGCAAGGCAGCACAUUCAGAUAUACUGAAACGAGAGAUUGGACGCAUCAACAAUCAGGUGAAGCGUGCGGCCCACCGACUCAAUGACCAGCUGACUGGAGUGGAACGUAACAUUGUGUCGCUGAAGCAGAACACCAACAGUUGUAUUGAAGAGAUUGAAAACAUCUCCAAGCGUCUGCAAAAGUCAGUCAAAGACAGGUGUGCAUUCCUCAAAUCUGAGGUUGAGAACUAUCACAGUAGUGAACUCAAGAACUUGAACACUUUAAAAGAAAGCCUUGAUCAAGAAGUUUCCAACAUCAAUGCCAACAUUGACCUGGCAGAGAAACACAUGGAUGACAACACACCCUGGGAUGAUGCUGAACUCAUGGACACCAAAGACAUCUUUCUCAAAACAAUGGAAUUCAUACGAAGCUUUGAUUACGAGGCAGGAGACUACAGCAGGAGGGCAAGAUUUAAUCCUCCAGAUGAUUUAAACAAGCUGGUGUCAAGCCUGAGCUCCCUUGGAGAUCUGAGCUUCAGUUCCUCCAGCAAAAAUGAUGGAUAUGGCCUGGGACCCUCCCUUGGCUCAGGCCUCAUGAAGAGUAAGAGUGAUCACCGCUUGGCAGCUCAAUUCAGGGACCAGGAAGACACCUAUGGCUACUCAGGCAGGACCUCACCACUCAUGCGCAGACGCUUCGGGGAAAGGAAUGUAGAGAGGCACGACGAGGAUUCCCCGAUUGACUCUGGGCGGCGGCGCUUCCGGUCCAGGUUCAUGCGAAAAGAGGAAGACGAAGACCGUUCAGUGCGCUUCGCCGAAGAGGAUGGACCUAAGCGGCAGAGAGUAUUCGACACCGAGGACGUCUCGCGUGGCCCACUCUCUGGCAUUGUCCGGCUCUUCGAUUCACCGCGCGUUAUGAAACGCCUCCAGGAGCGAGACCAAAUGAAGAACAAGAAAAAGGAGGAGCCACCUCCUAAACCUGCACAGCCCACCCUACCCAAGCCACCUGUGACCCCACUGCAGCGCAAGACCACACGCCAGACUAGUGAAGAUGAGAUUGACAAAAUUAAAAAGCAGAACAAGUCAGAAGCAUCAUCUUCAGGGGGAGCAACAGCUGUCACACCUCCAGUUAGUAGCUCCAGCAUUUCUAGCACUACAGCCUCCAGGCCUGCAGGGGAGCGUGUCUCUUCCAUCAGAGAGGAUGAACGUCAAAGUCGCAGUGAUCGCACUUCCACCUCCCCAAGGUCAUCUGCUAACCACUCCCCAACAUCCUCCGUUACGAGGGAAGAUGAGUCCACACGCCGUCGAGGUGAAAGUAGUAGUGUUUUGGGAGCUGGCUCAGCAUCCAGCCGCACUGCACCAUCCCGCAAAACCAGUGUGGACACUGGUGUGACUAGCGUGACACAGCGUUCAUACCCAUUUAGCCGCUCAUCAUCUAAUUCUUCUGUGGGUGACAAGGAUAAGAAUACAAGUGGUAACCGUACUCCACGUCAACUAGACACAGCAUCCAUUGAGCGCCGUCUGUCCCGCUCCAAUAGCACAGACAGCAACAAGUCUACAGAGGGAGCUACGUCCCCAAAGAAACCCACAGGUGCAGCAUUUUCCACGGAGGAGCUAAAAAAUCGGUUCUCAAGGCAGGACUCGCGACCAUCCACCUCCAAGGCUGAGCCAACUCGGUCAGGAACAUCAGGUGGUGCAUCACGUUUCCAGUCACGUUUUUUAGGCCGAGCCGGUACUCCUUCAGUAGAGGCCUCGAAGGAAUCAGAGAAUGAUGAUGAUGAUGAAACCACAGAUGAUUCCGAGUCUGAAGAGAGUGAGGAGACAUCUGAAGAGGACGACGAUGAUGAAGAGGAGGAGGAGGAGGAGGAGGAAGAGGAAAAGAAGACCACCACAACAGAACACUCUCGUCCAGACAUUGGGCCCUUACUGGGGAGGAGUGCCCAGUCUCGCGAUGUAGGCACUAGCAGUAGUACUAGUUCACGAUGGGGUGAUAGGAGCUCCUACCCACCAGCAUCAUCCAGUAGUGGUGAGUCUGGAUAUAGUAGCAGCAACAGAUAUGGCAGUAGCAGUGAUAACAGUAAUGGCAGCAGCACCAGUAGUAGCCGCUAUGGUGCCACCAGCAGCCUAAGCAAUGAUUCUGGAGCUAGUGCAACUAGCCACCGCCGACCCUCCUAUGUAGAGACAAAGUCUUCAGCCAAAGACAAGGAGGAAGACUUUGAGUCCAAGUACCCUUACUCCAGCAAGUACCUGAACCGCUCCAGGGCCAAUGUGCCUGAAGAAGAUUCCAAACCCAAUUUUCAUAGUCGUUUUCUCAACCGUUCCAAGAGCUCUGCUGUUCUUGGUCCUGUUGAUGACAGUGCAGAUGACUCCUCAUCCAGCACAACACAUGGGGCUAGUCGUGCUCGCUUUGAAGAACUAAAGGAACGACGGCAACGACUAGCACGGAGCAGAAGUUCAGCAGGUCUAGAGGAUGAAGACAGUGCAACAGCAGACACAUCUACUACCUCCACAGCCACCAACAAUUACCGCACUCGUUAUGGCAGAGACACUGCUUCGCCUUCAUCACGCUCUGGAGGUAGUGUAUCAACGUCAUCCACCACAGCCAGUAGUGGUACUAAUAGUGGUGGUGGUGGCGGUGGUGGUGAAGAAGGCUCAUCUUCUACUCAACUCUCCAAUUGGGCCCGCUACCUUAAGAAUAAGUAUGGAAACAGGAGCAACGCCAGUGGAGACACCAAUACACGAAGCACCUUGGGUAGCAGUGGGCUGGGCAGCAGCAGUAAUAGUAGCACUAGCAACAGCAGCACCACCAGCAGCUCACUCCUGGGCAGCAGUCGUGCAGGUGGCAGACCCAUCUCCCGGUCCCGCUCCUCACACCUUCUUGGUCUCGCCAAAGAGGGAGAAUCUUCAGAAGAUGAUUCAAAAAACGUGCGCGCUACCCCUACUUCCCCGCCAGCAGGUACGGUGGUUCCUACUCCAUUCGGAAAUAUCCAUAGGAGCCAGUACAUGCAGAAGCAACGCCUCUUACUUAAGAUCGGGAGUAGGGGUAGUGAACCAGGAAGCUUUACAUGGCCAAGAGGCAUUGCUGUUGGGCCUGACAACAGCAUUGUGGUUGCAGAUUCAAGCAAUCAUCGAGUGCAGGUGUUUGACCAACAAGGCAAAUUCAUUAAAGAAUUUGGUGCUUAUGGCAGUGCAGAGGGCGAGUUUGAUUGCCUGGCAGGUGUAGCUGUCAACAGGAUUGGUCAAUUCAUCAUUGCUGAUCGUUACAAUCACAGGAUCCAGAUCUUCGACCCUUCAGGCAACUUCUUACGAUCCUUCGGCAGUCAGGGUGGUGGCGACGGACGGUUCUCCUACCCAUGGGGGAUAACCACUGAUGCACUUGGGUUCAUCUAUGUGUGUGACAAGGAGAACCACCGUGUACAGGUGUUCCAGUCAGAUGGCUCCUUUGUGGGCAAGUUUGGCUCAAUGGGAAAUAAGCCUGGUCAGCUUGAACACCCACACUACAUUGCAGUCUCAUCCACUAACAGAGUAAUUGUCUCAGAUUCCAACAAUCACCGUAUCCAGAUCUUUGACAUCAAUGGCAAGGUCACAACCACCUUUGGGUCAGAAGGCAGUGAUGAGGGGCAGUUUAAAUUCCCAAGGGGUGUGGCAGUGGAUGACCAAGGAUACAUCUUUGUGGCGGACAGUGGUAACAAUCGUAUCCAAAUUUUCCACCCUGAUGGAACCUUUCUGAGGGCCUUUGGAUGCUGGGGGUCUGGUGAAGGAGAGUUCAAAGGUCUGGAGGGUGUGGCUGUCAUGUCAAAUGGCAACAUCCUUGUAUGUGACCGUGAGAACCACCGUGUCCAGGUCUUUUAAAACAGCUUGUGUGAUUUAGUGUUUUAUGGAAUAAAACUGCCUGACAGAUGACUGAGGCUGCAUGUCCAGAAAUCAUGAGUUGGCCUCAUCUCCCACACAACAAGUACUGCUCCAUGUGACAAAGGUUCAGAUCACACCAUGGUGAAAACAGUAUGGCCCCAGUUGAGUGUUUUAGUAUCCUAUGGCAGAUGACCAGUUGCUGCCACAGCACCCCAUAAGGAUGAACUGCUGCUGCAGAUCAGUUAACUUGAAAAAGUGAUGAAAGGUUGCUGUCAACUUCUUUCUGGAACUUGCCUUGUGUUAAAUUUCUGAUCUAGUCGGGUUAAGCGGAUUUUCUCUGUUAAUUCGCUCAUAACCUCUGGGAAUAUUCAUUCUCUAAUGGUUUGGGCUGUGUGGAGGGUGGGACUACUUGCUCCACACGCACGCGCACACACAGGCCUCAAACUUGUGAUUACUAAGUUACAGUGAUUACCAAGUUACAGAGCAUGGUUUUUUUUUUCCAUUUGGUUUAAAUAGGUAUUAAUAUGUUUGUAAAUAUGAUUUUUUAUGAAUAUAUGGCAGCAUUAGUGUUGAAGUGUAGAGCGUCUGCAAACUUGAAAAAAGAUUCAUGUUAGUAAUGAGACUAAAUUCAGUGUGAAACCUAGUCACUUGUGUCUCCUGUAGUACAUUUUUUUGGUUUGAAGCUGUCAAGGUUACCAAACAGCGAGUGAGCCACAAAGCUUCACUCAGCCAGUAACUACCAAGUUAUAGUGUUACCAAUACUUGGUAACACUAGUCCCUUGUUAAAAACACUAUUCUUAAUCCUUGUGUACAUGCAUGUAUCAGUUUGAUUGACUGAUCAUGUUGCUAGUGUGUGGCAGCAUCUUCAGUUUACAAUGAGCCACAGGAAGUUUCACUCUACUGUGUUGAUGGUCAGAAAAAAAGGAUGAAACUUUCAAUUUAAGAGUUAAGAAACUUCAGUGUAAUUACUUCUCAAAGUAAUCUAUAUAUCAGUGUUGGAUACAUAUCGUUGUUUGUAGCUGAAUACUAUUUUUUAUUUAUUUGGAGCAAUGAAGUGAAUUAUUACACAAGUAGUAGACUGUAACAAUAAAACACUUUAGAGGACACACACACACAACACACACACACACUAGCAAACCUUGAGGGAGGUGAAUUGUGAGUCUUGUGAAUGUUUCUGUUCAGCUUUGUGCUCUGCAGGUUGUAGAAGAGGCUGGGAACUACAUUUUGUGACACUCUUGCUUCUACUCUUGUACUGUAUUUUGUCAAUUAAAAAUUAAUUAAU